AACGCACCUUGCGCUCCCGGCAGAUCUAAUCUGGGGAGCAUGCCUGUUUGAGGGCCGCGAAUUGUUUCGAACGACAGCUUUUUUUCUCGGAGAAAGGUUGGCGGAUCGGUAUUGAGGGUCUUUGCCAUUCACCGUGGCUCCCUCGAAAUGCAUUAGCGCAUCCAUUUGAUAGGCAAGACGGACGAAAGCUCGAUUUCGCCCUCUCUUCCCUGCCGGGUUUUGAUAAUAUCAGGACUUCGGAGGCGGAGAGUUGGUUAGAGCUGGACGCAACGGCUUGCUGUUUGGCGUGCUUCUGAACCCCGCCCAUGCCUCGCAAGAGGAAGGGAUUUUUUUCAAUUCAUCGGCCUCAGAUUGGUAGGACUACCCGCUGAACUUAA
rnacentral:misc_RNA from 1 species